rnacentral:rRNA from 1 species
AUUGAACGCUGGCGGCAUGCCUUACACAUGCAAGUCGAACGGCAGCGGACCUUCGGGUGCCGGCGAGUGGCGAACGGGUGAGUAAUAUAUCGGAACGUACCUUUCAGUGGGGGAUAACGUAGCGAAAGUUACGCUAAUACCGCAUAUUCUGUGAGCAGGAAAGCAGGGGAUCGCAAGACCUUGCGCUGAUUGAGCGGCCGAUAUCAGAUUAGCUAGUUGGUGAGGUAAAGGCUCACCAAGGCGACGAUCUGUAGCGGGUCUGAGAGGAUGAUCCGCCACACUGGAACUGAGACACGGUCCAGACUCCUACGGGAGGCAGCAGUGGGGAAUAUUGGACAAUGGGCGAAAGCCUGAUCCAGCAAUGCCGCGUGUGUGAAGAAGGCCUGAGGGUUGUAAAGCACUUUCAAUCGUGAAGAAAAGUUGCAGGCUAAUACCCUGUGACCUUGACGUUAACGAUACAAGAAGACACCGGCUAAC